rnacentral:rRNA from 1 species
GAUGAACGCUGGCGGCGUGCCUAAUACAUGCCAGUCGAGCGAACAGACGAGGAGCUUGCUCCUCUGACGUUAGCGGCGGACGGGUGAGUAACACGUGGAUAACCUACCUAUAAGACUGGGAUAACUUCGGGAAACCGGAGCUAAUACCGGAUAAUAUAUUGAACCGCAUGGUUCAAUAGUGAAAGACGGUUCUGCUGUCACUUAUAGAUGGAUCCGCGCCGCAUUAGCUAGUUGGUAAGGUAACGGCUUACCAAGGCGACGAUGCGUAGCCGACCUGAGAGGGUGAUCGGCCACACUGGAACUGAGACACGGUCCAGACUCCUACGGGAGGCAGCAGUAGGGAAUCUUCCGCAAUGGGCGAAAGCCUGACGGAGCAACGCCGCGUGAGUGAUGAAGGUCUUCGGAUCGUAAAACUCUGUUAUUAGGGAAGAACAAAUGUGUAAGUAACUAUGCACGUCUUGACGGUACCUAAUCAGAAAGCCACGGCUAACUACGUG